rnacentral:rRNA from 1 species
AUUCAAUUGAAGAGUUUGAUCAUGGCUCAGAUUGAACGCUGGCGGUAAGCCUUAAACAUGCAAGUCGUGCGGUAACAGACAUAAAGAUUUAGCUUGCUAAAUCCGGUGCUGACGAGCGGCGAACGGGUGAGUAACACGUAGGAAUCUACCCAGUAGCGGGGGAUAGCCCAGGGAAACUUGGAUUAAUACCGCAUAAGCCCUAUGGGGGAAAGAAGGCCUCUCUUUGAAGCUUUCACUAUUGGAUGAGCCUGCGUAAGAUUAGCUUGUUGGUGGGGUAAAAGCCUACCAAGGCAACGAUCUUUAGCUGGUCUGAGAGGACGAUCAGCCACAUUGGGACUGAGACACGGCCCAGACUUCUACGGAAGGCAGCAGUUAGGAAUAUUGGACAAUGGGGGCAACCCUGAUCCAGCUAUACCGCGUGUGUGAAGAAGGCCCUAGGGUUGUAAAGCACUUUAAGCAGGGAAGAAGUAUAGUAAGUUAAUAUCUUACUAUAUUGACGUUACCUGAAGAAUAAGGACCGGCUAACUCCGUGCCAGCAGCCGCGGUAAUACGGAGGGUCCAAGCGUUAAUCGGAAUUACUGGGCGUAAAGCGCGCGUAGGCGGUUUAAUAAGUUGUAUGUGAAAGCCCUGGGCUCAACCUAGGAACUGCAUACAAAACUAUUAAGCUAGAGGACGAGAGAGGAGAGUAGAAUUUCAGGUGUAGCGGUGAAAUGCGUAGAUAUCUGAAGGAAUACCAAUGGCGAAGGCAGCUCUCUGGAUCGUUUCUGACGCUAAGGUGCGAAAGCGUGGGUAGCAAACAGGAUUAGAUACCCUGGUAGUCCACGCCGUAAACGAUGAUAACUAGCCGUUGGGCAGAUUUAACUGUUCAGUGGCACAGCUAACGCAUUAAGUUAUCCGCCUGGGGAGUACGGCCGCAAGGCUAAAACUCAAAUGAAUUGACGGGGGCCCGCACAAGUGGUGGAGCAUGUGGUUUAAUUCGAUGCAACGCGAAGAACCUUACCAACCUUUGAAAUCCAGAGAAGUCACCAGAGAUGGAGAUGUGCCUUCGGGAACUCUGUGACAGGUGUUGCAUGGCUGUCGUCAGCUCGUGUCGUGAGAUGUAUGGUUAAGUCCAGUAACGAGCGCAACCCCUAUCCUUAUUUGCCAGCGCGUAAAGGCGGGAACUAUAGGGAGACUGCCGGUCAAAAACCGGAGGAAGGCGGGGACGAGGUCAAGUCAUCAUGGCCCUUAUAGGUUGGGCUACACACGUGCUACAAUGGGAUGUACAGAGGGACGCCAAAGCGCAAGCUGGAGCCAAACCCUUAAAGCAUUUCGUAGUCCGGAUUGGAGUCUGCAACUCGACUCCAUGAAGUCGGAAUCACUAGUAAUCGCGAAUCAGAAUGUCGCGGUGAAUACGUUCUCGGGCCUUGUACACACCGCCCGUCAUAUCAUGGAAGUGGGUUGCACCAGAAGUGGUUAGUCUAACCUUAGGGAAGACGAUCACCACGGUGUGAUUCAUGACUGGGAUAAAGUCGUAACAAGGUAGCCCUAGGGGAACCUGGGGCUGGAUCACCUCCUUAAA